UUGCGGCUGGAUCCCCUCCUUUCUAAGGAUGAUCCUUCAGCGAGCUCACGCUCACUAUCGGAUCGUUUUAGAAACAUCAGUGGCCAACAGAUCGCCAGAUCGUUGAGCUGCAUUGGCGGGAUUUCGCCGUCUUCGUUUCUCUUUCUUCGCGGACGAACACGCGUUGGGCCUGCAUCAAGCGGGAUCCCACGGUCCCUGACGGGAUAUGCGUUAGGGGCUUGUAGCUCAGUUGGUUAGAGCGCGCGCUUGAUAAGCGUGAGGUCGGAAGUUCAAGUCUUCCCAGGCCCACCACUUUCAUCGAGUGAGCAUUCGUCUUCUGGUUACGGGGCCAUAGCUCAGCUGGGAGAGCGCGUGCUUUGCAAGCAUGAGGUCGUCGGUUCGAUCCCGUCUGGCUCCACCAGAUGGUUUGAUCACCGAGAUCUCGCACCGUCGUCCGCGAAACAUCACUUCGCAUCCUGCUAGUCUGGAUAGACAGCAAGAUGCGUGUUUUCUGACAUCGUAAAGAGGAGAUCGAUCCGAGUUGGAUCGUGCAGCAGAUUGUUGCGCGAAUCCUUCAUUAUCUCCGGAUCAUUUUCGGCGCUCGCUUUCAGCCGUGAGGUUGAAUGCGAGUUGUAAAAUGAUCCUUUUAGCGAAGCUUGACCGCCUCGCUAUCGGAACGAUCUUACGAAGCAAGCUGGUCUUUCUAGUCAAUGUCCGGCUGCACGUAGCAUUCAUCGAGGGUGCGCGCCUUAGAGACUUAGGUUUCUGGGCAAUCGUGCAGACAACAUUCUGCCGAGUGUGUGGACAUUGAUAAUGAGAGCAAUCAAGUGCCUUAAGGGUGUUCGGUGGAUGCCUUGGCGCUGAGAGGCGAUGAAGGACGUGCUACGCUGCGAUAAGCCGUGGGGAGCUGCGAAGAAGCUUUGAUCCGCGGAUUUC
rnacentral:misc_RNA from 1 species